GAUGAAGAACGCAGCGAAAUGCGAUAAGUAAUGUGAAUUGCAGAAUUCCGUGAAUCAUCGAAUCUUUGAACGCACAUUGCGCCCCCUGGUAUUCCGGGGGGCAUGCCUGUCCGAGCGUCAUUGCAACCCCCAAGCGCGGCUUGUGUGUUGGGCUUCGUCCCCCCGUGGACGUGCCCGAAAGGCAGUGGCGGCGUCCCGAAUGGUGCCCGAGCGUAUGGGAACUCUCUUCCGCUCGAACCGGCCCAUUCGGCGCUGGUCGAACCCCAAUUUUUUACCGGUUGACCUCGGAUCAGGUAGGGAUACCCGCUGAACUUAAGCAUAUCAAUAAGCGGAGGA
rnacentral:misc_RNA from 1 species